UAAAACAAGUUACUACUGAAGAUUCAUAAUAGGAGUAGUGGCCCAAGCUACUUCUCCAAACAAAAACAAAUAGCGGAAAAGUUAAAUAUAUCACUAAGUCAAGUAACUUCAUUGCUUUUGCUCUUCCUCACGCUUUGCGUCUUUGAUCUCAUCUGUCCCAUCGUCCUGCAUAUCUGAGGUCCACAGAGUGAGAUUAUCCCGAAGAAGUUGCAUGA
rnacentral:misc_RNA from 1 species